rnacentral:tRNA from 2 species
GCCCUUGUAGUGAAACGGAUAUCACGACUGCCUUCGAAGCAGUUAGUGGAGGUUCGAAUCCUCCCGAGGGCACCA